rnacentral:rRNA from 1 species
AUUGAACGCUGGCGGCAGGCCUAACACAUGCAAGUCGAACGGUAACAGGAAGAAGCUUGCUUCUUUGCUGACGAGUGGCGGACGGGUGAGUAAUGUCUGGGAAACUGCCUGAUGGAGGGGGAUAACUACUGGAAACGGUAGCUAAUACCGCAUAACGUCGCAAGACCAAAGAGGGGGACCUUCGGGCCUCUUGCCAUCGGAUGUGCCCAGAUGGGAUUAGCUAGUAGGUGGGGUAACGGCUCACCUAGGCGACGAUCCCUAGCUGGUCUGAGAGGAUGACCAGCCACACUGGAACUGAGACACGGUCCAGACUCCUACGGGAGGCAGCAGUGGGGAAUAUUGCACAAUGGGCGCAAGCCUGAUGCAGCCAUGCCGCGUGUAUGAAGAAGGCCUGGUGUAAGUACUUCAGCGGGAGGAGGAGUAAGUAAUACUU